ensembl:lncRNA
AAUUUGGGCAAUAACAGUUGUAUUGAUGUAUAGCAACUUGAAAUGCUCCCAAAAAUGGCUCCACAGCAUGUAAAAAUAUAAAGAUAAGGUCUGGCGGACUUGGUUCUAUGGUAGGUCUUAAAGGGUUAAAACAAAGGGAAAAUGAUGAAAAAUUAAUUUAGGAAAGAAAUCAAAACAUGAUUCUAUAAAUCUUCGCUCUUCUGUGGUGCGUCAAGUUGACAUCUACCCAUCAAAAACCUGUUGAGAGCAGUGCUCAGUCCACUCAUGAGGCCAUCAUUCAGGAAUGAGCUCACUGACUUAAGCCCCUUUUCUAUUUAGUACCUACUUGGAGUUAGUACCUACUACUGGCCACGACUCAACUUGCCACGAUUAGUUUUCCAUUAUAACCCAGUGUGCAUGCUUGUUGUCAUAACAACGUGUCUGUGCAUCUCACAACGUAAUUAUUAUGCAAUGCAAAUGCUAUAAGAAAGCGAACAUAUACCUGCUGCUUUUUGUCAGACUUGGGGAACACGUGUUGUUUUUUGUAGCCAUUUUCCUCAUUGCCUCAUUUCAAAAAUGGUAGUUUUAAUUUAUGUGAAUGAGACGCUCUCAUGACUCAUCGAGUGACACUACUGACCAGCCAACUGUUGUCAUGCAGUAGGACAACGUCACAUUUUAGUACCUGCUCAGAUCGCUUGGAACCCUGGCCGAGAAGGUACUAAAACAGUACCUGGUACCACGCAUUUUGGCCAAAUGGAAAACCCUGAAAACCGUGCCGUCGUUCCAGGUAGGUGGAAAAGGGCCAUUACAUCGUAAUGAUGACAUCAUCAGCAUCAUCACAAUUUAGAGCAUGCAGAAAAAGUCAGAGAGGCCACUAAACAGAAGACCUCAUCAUACUUGCUUUGGAGGAUCUUUAUGAACUUUUUCAGCUGUUGUGGCAGCAUCCUUCAUCUGAUUGGCCGGCUCAGUCUGACGUAGCACGAGGGAAAAACCUGGAGCGUCACCAAGUGAAAGAGAAACUACAGCAUGCACUGCCAGAAGCACGGUGGUGAUUUCCAAACCAUUUACAGGAAAGCCUCGGCCUUCAGCAACAGCAGCUGUGUGAGUUUAUCACAUUCAUGUCACAUGUCUGUUUGGACCAUGGAACAGAUCCCGAUUCCUUAGAGUGAUCACCGAGACAACCAGAGAAGUGAAGAGUCCCUUUAAACCUGGAGGAGAGGAGCACCAGGGACAGAGCCAAGGUCACCACAGAGAACGGGAUGCUUUCAUAUUCCCGUCCUGGGAGGUUGUACGGGAUGACGAUGCGGUUCCUUCCUGGUGGGCCGUGUUUAGCUGAGAGAGACUCAAAGUGUUCCCACACUCCAUCAUCAUCUCGAAGAGGGCUAACCGUGAUGUUUGGGACCAUCUGUGCUCCAGCUUUCUUCAUAAAAAACUCUGUGCUGAGGCCUCAGUUUUCCUGUAGCGACACCGUACACUAAACCAGAAGUGAUGCAGUUCCAGGGAGAAUACAGGAGCACGUCAGUGAUGGUGGGCAGAGGCAGGUAACAGCUGGCUGCGAUCAUGAAGUCUUUGAUUGCUCCAUGAGCCACGAAGCUGAUGUGAACAUUAUCACUGUGGUUCUUCUUCUCCUCCUCAUCAAUGUGUUUCUUCAGAAAGUCAAACAUGUCUGUGAAGGCAUCAGAGUUUUUUCUCAGCCACUGCAGGGUGACUUCAUCUGUGCAGCUUCUCAUUGCCAGCUUUGUCAAUCUUUCCCUUUCAUCACAGCUCCUCAGUCUGUCUGCUCUGCAGGGUGUAAAUACAGCUAACCUCUGAAACAAUCUUCUGAAACAGGAAUUAUGGAAAAAACAUUUUAAGCAUGACAAACAUUUAAUCUGUCCACAGAUGGAUCCUGAAACAAAAUAAAGCCAAAAUCUCCUCGUUUCAUUUCACUCUUUGUUUCCAGACUUACUCCAGUUCCUCGUCUCUCUCCAUCUCCUCAGAAGUUUGACUGUCUUUAGCGUUGUCCUUCAGGUGCUUCCUGUGGUUAAAAAUUGACAACAUGUCUUUCAGAUCUCAGCGUGCUUGUGUCCCCACUGCCAACCAGUUGCAGCAGAUGGCCCCGCCCCUCCCUGAGCCUGGUUCUGCCGGAGGUUUCUUCCUGUUAAAAGGGAGUUUUUCCUUCCCACUGUUGCCAAAGUGCUUGCUCAUAGGGGGUCAUAUGAUUGUUGGGUUUGUCUCUGUAUGUAUUAUUGUGCGAUCUACUGUACAAUAUAAAGUGCAUUGAGGCGACCUUGAGCAGUCAGCCAUGUUCUCCAUGUCCUGUUUUAUCAAGAGCAAUAAAAGAAGCUGAGACGUCGCAUUCAUUCAUUUUAUUAUUAUUGUAUUAUUAAUUAUUUUGGAACAGCUGUAA